rnacentral:rRNA from 1 species
GAUGAACGCUAGCGGCAGGCUUAAUACAUGCAAGUCGAGGGGCAGCACAGGUAGCAAUACUGGGUGGCGACCGGCAAACGGGUACGGAACACGUACACAACUUACCUUCUGGUGGGGGAUAGCCUUUGGAAACGGAGAUUAAUACCCCAUAUUAUAUAUGAGCUGCAUGGUUUGUAUAUUAAAGAUUUAUUGCCGGAAGAUGGGUGUGCGUAUGAUUAGGUAGUUGGCGGGGUAACGGCCCAUCAAGCCGACGAUCAUUAACUGGUGUGAGAGCACGACCAGUCACACGGGCACUGAGACACGGGCCCGACUCCUACGGGAGGCAGCAGUAAGGAAUAUUGGUCAAUGGACGGAAGUCUGAACCAGCCAUGCCGCGUGGAGGAUGAAGGUCCUCUGGAUUGUAAACUUCUUUUAUAGGGGGCGAAAAAAGGGAAUUCUUUCUCGUCUGACGGUACCCUAUGAAUAAGCACCGGCUAACUCCGUGCCAGCCGCCGCGGUAACAC